rnacentral:sRNA from 2 species
AUGCAGCCGUAUCCGUAAGAAGGGGUGCCUCUUGUUAGCCAUUGGCUCUGAUAGCUCGUUGCAGCAUCGCCACUUCGACAUCAGAAGCACCUAGCGACUCCUGUGGCUAUCCUGAUUGUUCAGGGGCAUCUGUUAGUCUUCAAUGGCUAGAAAAAACUCUUUUCGCACGUCCAUAGCGAUUGGGUGGUACAUGGCUGCGUGGUAGCAUUGACAAUGAAAUACAUUCUAUCGUUACGCAGAGUAUGAUAUGAACAUUGCUCGCUUUCUUGGGUGCCUAGGAAGUGUUCUGUUCCCCGUCCAGGAACCCAGAUACAACAGGCCCGCUUUCUCCGAGUAGAUCCCAGCGAAUAGUCACUCUCUUUCCUACAUUGUUGCGGUAGUAAUUAGGGCGGAAGAAGAGCUACCGGUGGAUCCUCUGGGAGGUGCAUGUUAUGCACGUUCCCGAACUUCGAUUGUGGUGCACAGGAACCUUAAGGAUUUUUACCUGAAGAUGCAUCAUUGCCUCCCGGAAGCUACCCGUUGAUAAUAUAUGAACAUAUGAGAGCCAGAAUUCGCAGUUUUAUCUUGGCUAUUGAUGUUCUUUUGCUCAUCAUCACUCUUCCUCUUACUUAAACUACUUCUAUUUCACAAUCAGAUAUAUAUUUCAGCCAGCUGCAAAUAUUGACAGAUACAGAAGAUUUGCUAUUUUGACAUAGAUUGCAUCUACCCGCAAACAUGUGUCGAACUUCUAAGACUGAUAUCAUUCUCUCUCCCAAGGAAGUCUCAAAUGGCGAGAUCGCUCAAAAGGAAGCGU